GGCUAUGGCCAAAUCUCUCAUAAAAGGCAUAAAACAGACUCCUUUGUUGGACUUAUGGGCAAAAGAUCUUUAAAUUCUGGAUCCUCUGAAAGGAACACAGCACAGAAUUACGAACGAAGGCGUAAAUAAGACAUUCCUGUGUAUUAUUUAUUAAACUUCAUUUGUUUAAAUGGCCAAUGCAGUGUAAUAUAAAUUAUCCACUGUAAGGAAUAAUUAUUUAUUUAAUAAUAAUUGUUGUUUUUUGAGUUGUAAAUUCAAUAAAAUGAUUAUUUUUCACAUUGUGGCAGCGAUACAUGUUGUGUAAGUGUGUUGUGGUUCCAAAAUAACAGCUCCUUAUGGAACAGAAAUUGAUGAUGUUGCACAGCAAAGCACAUUAUUUGGUAUGACCUGUAAAAUUGUGUUCACCAAACAAACAAACAAAAUUAUUUUGUUAAUUUAAAGCAAUCAUAUCCGCUUCACUACCAAUGCAGAGCAGAACUGGUGUACAGUCUAGUGCCUCAAUUUGUUUCCAUGGUUUAAAAUGUACUGUAAUUUCCAUAUAAAAAUAUAUUUGUAACAUUGCAGCAUGUUUUCUGUUUUGUGGCUACAUAUAUAUAUUUUAAAAAAAAGGUUUGAAUGUGAAUUCAAGGUCUUCAUUUCAUAGUCUGGAAUUUUAUGAUCGUAACAUUUUAAAUAAAAACUACUU